GAUUAUUUUACCUAAUGGUAUAACUGAAAUAGUCCUGAAGUAAGGAUCAAAACCAGACAGGUAAAGAUCUGGUUGUGAUACCUCAAAGUAUAGAUAGAAGUACCCCAGAAUGUGAUUUUUAUUUUUCUGACAAUACAUGUGAAAUGAUCUGGUCUUUCUGUUCUCAUGGAAGUUGCAUUAAAUUAACAAUUCAGAGAAGACUCUUAUAAAGGAUUUUCCCACAAUGCAUGUUUUGUGAUAUACUUGAGGAAUGUAUGUUUGAUAAUGCGUAAUGCCGUUGAUCUUAGUUUUCCUGUGAUGUUUUGAGCACUCACAGAUGAAGGACUUCUUACUUGUAAACUUUUAAUUGGACAUAUAAGUUUGUGAGGCUUUUAACUUUUUUGCUCAGCCAGGUGUUCAGCUGAGAAUCCCUUAGCCACCUUUAUUACUUUUUUUUAUUUAUUAUUUAUAGUUGAGAAACAGCAAUAAGAAGGAGAGAAAGCAACACAGACAAAAAUUAUUGCUAAAGCAGCCAUUGAAAGUCAGGAAGUUGACCGGUCUGUAGAUGGUUAUUGCUAGAUUUGAUCUUUGCAUAUAAUUUUACUUUGGCAUCCCAUUCAUGCAUGUGUUUUUUUUUGAUGAUGAUGAUGAACUCUACUCACCCCCAAUUACACACACAGAUAGGCAUUGCAUUUCCAGCAGAAUGACAAAAAGAGUGCAGCAAAAAGUCAUUCAAACAAGUGCAUCCAGAUUGGAAAUCACACAAGUUAAACUGUAGUUGCAUAACUCUGUGUUGUGUAUAGUAUGAUUUUAACUGAUAUGCUUUCCCAGGAGGAAGAUCCUUUGAACAGGAGAGCAACUUCUUCUUUAUAUUUUCUGGAUGUUACUUUUGGAGAGCUGGGCCUGGAGAGAAGCAAUAGUCCCUGGUUCUGCUUCACUGCAGCGCUGUGUAGUGAAGGAAGGCGAGGAUCAAUACUGUGUUCAUAGCCCCCUGGAGCAUUACAGCCUACCAUUCAGAGCCUGGACAAGAGCUUGGCCUUGCACUUUUACAGAUCGCUGCCUGUAGCGGAGCACAAAGGGAGCGGCGAGACUCCCACGUCUUUCAGCGAGAAGAAAGGAGGCAGCGGAGCAGACUAACGCGGGCUUGCGUCUGGUGGCCUGGCGGUACAAAGGCUGCCUUUAAAAGAGAAGCGCAGCGUUAUUUAAUGAGCUGUGAGAUGAGGAGGCGCUGCUGCUAACGCUCAGAUCCCGGGAUUCAUCGGCUAUUCAUUGUGCUUAAUGUACAUGUUUCUACACCGUGCAUUUAGGAGAUCCCAGAGAAGAAUCCAAAACGGCUG
rnacentral:lncRNA from 1 species